CGGGUGAGUAACGCGUGGGUAACCUGCCUUGUACUGGGGGACAACAGUUAGAAAUGACUGCUAAUACCGCAUAAGCGCACAGUAUCGCAUGAUACAGUGUGAAAAACUCCGGUGGUACAAGAUGGACCCGCGUCUGAUUAGCUAGUUGGUAAGGUAACGGCUUACCAAGGCGACGAUCAGUAGCCGGACUGAGAGGUUGACCGGCCACAUUGGGACUGAGAUACGGCCCAG
rnacentral:rRNA from 1 species